UUCCACAAUCUCAUCUCUCUUAGAGAACUCCAUAUCGAGGGAUCCCCAAACGCAUUGUCCUUUCCAGAAGAGGAGAAGGGAAUGAAGUUGCCAGCCUCUCUAAUUCAUCUAAAAUUAGAAAAAUUUCCAAAACUGAAAUACCUAUCUUCCAAGAGUUUCCAGAAUCUCACCUGUCUUGAAAACCUGGAUAUCUUUUAUUGCCCAAAUCUUGCAUCCUUGCCACACCUUCCAUCCUCGCUUCUGCAACUACAUAUUUUUCAUUGUCCAUUACUGAAGAAACGGUGCGAAAGUGGUGAAGGACAAGACUGGUCCAAGAUAGCCCACAUCCCUGACAGCAGGUUCAUCUAGAUCCAGAGGAGGAACAAUGAUGUCCAUUUGGUAUCAGAAACAAUGGAAAAUUCCGAAUCACUUCAUACUUAGGGGCUAUUCAGGAACCUACUGGAAAGUAUCAACUUGAAUGCUUAUGCCAGCGAGUAAGCAAGUGGACUAUUUUAUACUCGGUUCCUGAAGUUAUCCUUUUCUUUGCCUCAUGCAUUCUUCUAAC